rnacentral:rRNA from 1 species
CCUACGGGUGGCAGCAGUGAGGAAUAUUGGUCAAUGGACGGAAGUCUGAACCAGCCAUGUCGCGUGCAGGAAGACGGCUCUAUGAGUUUUAAACUUCUUUUGUACGAGGGUAAACUCAGCUACGCGUAUGUUUCUGAAUGUAUCGUACGAAUAAGGAUCGGCUAAUUCCGUGCCAGCAGCCGCGGUAAUACGGAAGGUUCCAGCGUUAACCGGAUUUAUUGGGUUUAAAGGGUGGGUAGGCGGUCUGAUAAGUUAGAGGUUAAAUCCCGGGGCCCAACUUCGGAAGUGCCUUUGAAACUGUUGGGCUAGAGAGUAGGUGGGGUACGCGGAAUGUGUGGUGUAGCGGUGAAAUGCUUAGAGAUCAUAAAGAACUCCGAUUGCGAAGGCAGCUUACCAGGGUACUACUGACGUUGAGGCACGAAAGCGUGGGUAGCAAACAGGAUUAGAUACCCGAGUAGUC